rnacentral:rRNA from 1 species
UACGAAGGGGGCUAGCGUUGUUCGGAAUUACUGGGCGUAAAGCGCACGUAGGCGGAUAGUUAAGUCGGGGGUGAAAUCCCAGGGCUCAACCCUGGAACUGCCUCCGAUACUGGCUGUCUGGAGUCCGGGAGAGGUGAGUGGAAUUCCGAGUGUAGAGGUGAAAUUCGUAGAUAUUCGGAAGAACACCAGUGGCGAAGGCGGCUCACUGGCCCGGAACUGACGCUGAGGUGCGAAAGCGUGGGGAGCAAACAGG